UGAGUCCGUUGGGUGACCGCGGGUCCGGUGGCCUGGUCACCGAGCCUGAGGAAAGUCGGGGCUCCACAGGGCAGGACGCUGGCGGGAGCCAGGUGGGGGCGACCUCACGGACAGUGCAACAGAAAGCAGACCGCCGAUGGCCGACCGGUUCGCUGGGAGGCACAGGUGAGGGUGAAAGGGUGCGGUAAGAGCGCACCAGCGUCGUGAGCGAUCGCGGCGGCUUGGUAAACCCCGUCCGGAGCAAGGCCAAGUCGUGGGAUGGGCUGCCCGUCCGGCGUCCUCGGGCGCCACCCGCAGGUGGGCUGCACAGAUGGAUGGUCACCGAACCGAACACCGCGAGGUGUCGGGGAACAGAACCCCGCUUACAGGCGGGCUCACCAG
rnacentral:RNase_P_RNA from 1 species